GAUGAACGCUAGCGGCAGGCUUAAUACAUGCAAGUCGUGGGGCAGCGCAGUGUAGCAAUACAUGGGCGGCGACCGGCAAACGGGUGCGGAACACGUACGCAACCUUCCUUCAAGUGGGGGAUAGCCCGGGGAAAACCCGGAUUAAUACCCCGUAAUACUGUUAAGUGGCAUCACUUGACAUUUAUAGCUCCGGCGCUUGA
rnacentral:rRNA from 1 species